UGGAAACUGUNUGACUUGAGUGCAGAAGGGGAGAGUGGAAUUCCAUGUGUAGCGGUGAAAUGCGUAGAUAUAUGGAGGANCACCAGUGGCGAAAGCGGCUCUCUGGUCUGUCACUGACGCUGAGGCUNGAAAGCGUGGGUAGCGAACAGGAUUAGAUACCCUGGUAGUNCACGCCGUAAACGAUGAGUGCUAGGUGUUAGGCCCUUUCCGGGGCUUAGUGCCGGAGCUAACGCAAUAAGCACUCCGCCUGGGGAGUACGACCGCAAGGUUGAAACUCAAAGGAAUUGACGGGGGCCCGCACAAGCGGUGGAGCAUGUGGUUUAAUUCGAAGCAACGCGAAGAACCUUACCAGGUCUUGACAUCCCGAUGCUAUUCUUAGAGAUAGGAAGUUACUUCGGUACAUCGGAGACAGGUGGUGCAUGGUUGUCGUCAGCUCGUGUCGUGAGAUGUUGGGUUAAGUCCCGCAACGAGCGCAACCCUUAUUGUUAGUUGCCAUCAUUAAGUUGGGCACUCUAGCGAGACUGCCGGUAAUAAACCGGAGGAAGGUGGGGAUGACGUCAAAUCAUCAUGCCCCUUAUGACCUGGGCUACACACGUGCUACAAUGGUCGGUACAACGAGUUGCGGGCCGGUGACGGCAAGCUAAUCUCUGAAAGCCGAUCUCAGUUCGGAUUGGAGGCUGCAACUCGCCUCCAUGAAGUCGGAAUCGCUAGUAAUCGCGGAUCAGCACGCCGCGGUGAAUACGUUCCCGGGCCUUGUACACACCGCCCGUCACACCACGAGAGUUUGUAACACCCGAAGUCGGUGAGGUAACCUUUUAGGGGCCAGCCGCCUA
rnacentral:rRNA from 1 species